GCUUGCUUCUCUUGAGAGCGGCGGACGGGUGAGUAAUGCCUAGGAAUCUGCCUGGUAGUGGGGGAUAACGUUCGGAAACGGACGCUAAUACCGCAUACGUCCUACGGGAGAAAGCAGGGGACCUUCGGGCCUUGCGCUAUCAGAUGAGCCUAGGUCGGAUUAGCUAGUUGGUGGGGUAAUGGCUCACCAAGGCUACGAUCCGUAACUGGUCUGAGAGGAUGAUCAGUCACACUGGAACUGAGACACGGUCCAGACUCCUACGGGAGGCAGCAGUGGGGAAUAUUGGACAAUGGGCGAAAGCCUGAUCCAGCCAUGCCGCGUGUGUGAAGAAGGUCUUCGGAUUGUAAAGCACUUUAAGUUGGGAGGAAGGGUUGUAGAUUAAUACUCUGCAAUUUUGACGUUACCGACAGAAUAAGCACCGGCUAACUCUGUGCCAGCAGCCGCGGUAAUACAGAGGGUGCAAGCGUUAAUCGGAAUUACUGGGCGUAAAGCGCGCGUAGGUGGUUUGUUAAGUUGGAUGUGAAAUCCCCGGGCUCAACCUGGGAACUGCAUUCAAAACUGACUGACUAGAGUAUGGUAGAGGGUGGUGGAAUUUCCUGUGUAGCGGUGAAAUGCGUAGAUAUAGGAAGGAACACCAGUGGCGA
rnacentral:rRNA from 1 species